rnacentral:lncRNA from 1 species
CACCAGUUGCUUCCGGGCAUUCUCAGGCAGAAGACCAAGGCAGAAACUUCACCUGCUCUCGACUCCCUNCAAGUGGCCUUUAGAGGCAUCCUGCUUGNUUCUCCAACCUGGAGGCGGUACCUGGGCAUCCAUUCUAGUUCCCAAGUGAGAGAAAAUGCAGGGAAUUUGAACACACCUAUCACCACACAUCUGUGUUACGAAAAGUAGGAUAGCAAGCCCUACUGGAUCAGAUGCAAGGCCCAUCCAGGGAGUGUCUUGUUUCUUCAACAAUCACUCAGUAGUCUUUUAUGGUCCCAAAGCUGGUAGUUGGUGGNGGACUGUCUCCAGAGCUGGUGUUUUUAUUUAGUGAUGAUAANUAGACAUCACCAAUAGCCUGCACGCCUUUACUCUUUUCCCUGGAAGAAAACUCGGGUGAACGAAAAACGGACAGAGAAGCAAGGAUUCCUAAUUGACAGAGAUUUGUUCUGUGCUACGAGAAUUGUUCCAGACUGAAGUAAACUGUGGACCAAACAUGGAAUUUUUUGUUCAUGCACAUCCCCAGGAGCUCACCUUUUACGGAACGGAGGAUGGAAGGGCUGGUCAGGUGGCAGCUGAUGGAGGAAACGGAUUGUACCAGAUGCUGGGCACGACUGUUAUGUGUGAUCCAUCGCAUCGUGUGGCUGGNGCUUUGUUUAUUUUUCAAUCUCGGGGCGGCUCCAGGAGGCUCCUCGGAGGGCUUGCUGUAAUUAUGACGGCCACAGAAUUAUUAUCGGGCACUUCCUCCACCACAUUCCCAGACCUAAAGUCCUGGAUCGAUCGUUUUGCAUCCACCUGCCUGCCACUUCCCUUUCUCUCCUACAAAGCUCAGAUCUGUUUAGGCAUUGAACUGGAAUUUUUUUGUACAGUGCCUUCUCUGUGGUGGNUCCCAGGCUGUGGAAUGGCCUCCAUAUCAAGACGAAGACCCCCACCAGUCAUGGCAGGCAAUUGCUGGCUUACCUGGCGUGUCCCCUGGCUCUUUUCACUAUAAUUCCACUUGCAGCAACCUAGGCACCAGUCAAGUGCCCAUUUUAACAUGCGCUCCCUUCUGGGAUGAUAGAGAAAAAUCAAUCUGAAAAUCAUAUGUAUUUAUUUAUGUUUCUAUCCCACCCUGUGCCCAGAGGCCUCAGGGUGGGUUACCACAAAGGCAAUAUUACAACUCAGUUAAAGAUAAACCCACAGAGACAAUAAAUAACAGAUGUCAUGUGAUCUGAACA